rnacentral:rRNA from 1 species
AAUCAACGCUGGCGGCGUGCCUCAGACAUGCAAGUCGAACGAGAAAGUUUCCUUCGGGAGACGAGUACAGUGGCGUCCGGGUGAGUAACACGUGGGUAAUUUACCUUUGGGUGGGGAAUAGCAGCCGGAAACGGCUAUUAAUACCGCAUAAUGCAGCGGCUCGACAUCGAGACAGUUGUUAAAGCGGGGAUCUGACAAGGACCUCGCGCCUAAAGAGAAGCCUGCGUCAGAUUAGCUAGUUGGUAGGGUAAUGGCCUACCAAGGCUGUGAUCUGUAGCCGGCCUGAGAGGGCGGUCGGCCACACUGACACUGACACACGGGUCAGACUCCUACGGGAGGCAGCAGUCGGGAAUCUUGCGCAAUGGGCGAAAGCCUGACGCAGCGACG